GUACUGUAGCUCAGUUGGUAGAGUCUCCUUUCUAGAUAGCAUUGUUGUCAUCUUGAUGAGGAAUGUGUGCGUUCAAUUCCCAUCAGUGGCA